GCUGGGCGCUGUGGAGUGUGCCUGUAGUCCCAGCUACUCGGGAGGCUGAGGUGGGAGGAUCGCUUGAGCCCAGGAGUUCUGGGCUGUGGUGUGCUAUGCUGAUCGGUGUCCGCACUAAGUUCUUCAUCAGUGUGGUGACUUCCCGGGAGUUGGGGACCACCAGGUUGCUUGCCUAAGGAGGGGUAAACCGGCCCAGAUCGGAAAUGGAGCAGGUCAAAACUCCCAUGCUGAUCAGCAGUGGGAUGGCGCCUGUGAAUAGCCACUGCACUCCAGCCUGGGCAACAUUGUGAGACCCCUGACCUCU
rnacentral:SRP_RNA from 1 species